UAAGAAUGAUGAAGUUUCAGUUACGUUGAAAUAAACCAAAUAAAUGGCAUUUUUA
rnacentral:tRNA from 1 species